ensembl:misc_RNA Metazoa_SRP Metazoan signal recognition particle RNA
GCCAGAUGUGGUGGUGCACAUCUGUAAUCCGUUACUCAGGAGGCUGAGGCAGGAGAAUAGCUUGAGCCCGGGAGGCAGAGGUUACAGUGAGCCAAGAUGGCGCCACUGCACUCCAGCCUGGGCUACAGAGUGAGACCCUGUCUCAA